UAUGCCGGAUUGUUACUAUUAUCAUCAACCAAAGAAAACACUAGAUGCCUUCCUUCAUAACUAUGUGUAGAGGAGAGCAGCAACAAUACUAACAUGUCCCACUGAAAAAUCCCCACACUACACACUCAGAUGUAAUCUGGAGGUUAGGUUUACUCUGUAGGUUAGGUUUACUCUGUAAUGUAGGUUUACUCUGUAGGUUAGGUUUACUCUGUAGGUUAGGUUUACUCUGUAGGUUAGGUUUACUCUGUAGUGUAGGUUUACUCUGUAAUGUAGGUUUACUCUGUAGGUUAGGUUUACUCUGUAGGUUAGGUUUACU
ensembl:lncRNA